rnacentral:rRNA from 1 species
GGUUGUCGUCAGCUCGUGCCGUGAGGUGCGGGUUAAGUCCCAUAACGAGCGCAACCCACGUCGUUAGUUGCCAACAGGUCAAGCUGGGAACUCUAACGAGACUGCCGGUGUAAACCGCGAGGAAGGUGUGGAUGACGUCAAAUCAGCACGGCCCUUACAUCCAGGGCUACACACGUGUUACAAUGGUCGGUACAGAGGGCAGCUACCAGGCAACUGGAUGCGAAUCUCAAAAACCGGUCUCAGUUCGGAUUGGAGUCUGCAACCCGACUCCAUGAAGCUGGAUUCGCUAGUAAUCGCGCAUCAGCCAUGGCGCGGUGAAUACGUUCCCGGGCCUU